rnacentral:rRNA from 1 species
GACGAACGCUGGCGGCGUGCUUAACACAUGCAAGUCGAACGGAAAGGCCCUGCUUUUGUGGGGUGCUCGAGUGGCGAACGGGUGAGUAACACGUGAGUAACCUGCCCUUGACUUUGGGAUAACUUCAGGAAACUGGGGCUAAUACCGGAUAGGAGCUCCUGCUGCAUGGUGGGGGUUGGAAAGUUUCGGCGGUUGGGGAUGGACUCGCGGCUUAUCAGCUUGUUGGUGGGGUAGUGGCUUACCAAGGCUUUGACGGGUAGCCGGCCUGAGAGGGUGACCGGCCACAUUGGGACUGAGAUACGGCUCAGACUCCUACGGGAGGCAGCAGUGGGGAAUAUUGCACAAUGGGCGGAAGCCUGAUGCAGCAACGCCGCGUGCGGGAUGACGGCCUUCGGGUUGUAAACCGCUUUCGCCUGUGACGAAGCGUGAGUGACGGUAAUGGGUAAAGAAGCACCAGCUAACUACGUG